rnacentral:rRNA from 1 species
UACGUAGGGUGCAAGCGUUGUCCGGAAUUAUUGGGCGUAAAGAGCUCGUAGGCGGUCUGUCGCGUCGGCUGUGAAAACUUGGGGCUCAACCCCAAGCCUGCAGUCGAUACGGGCAGACUAGAGUCCGGCAGGGGAGACUGGAAUUCCUGGUGUAGCGGUGAAAUGCGCAGAUAUCGUAAGGAAGACCAGUGGCGAAGGCGGGUCUCUGGACAGUUCCUGACGCUGAGGCACGAAGGUCAGGGGAGCAAACGGG